rnacentral:rRNA from 1 species
GAAUGAGGAGACUCAACGUCAGCGGAGUUGGCUUCCUUGUGGAUAGCGAUGUUUGAGACGGUACUUUUAUCGGUAUUUAGUCGAUUACACGCGUCCACUGUGGUAUGUCCGGCUACGUCGGCGUGCACUUCUCCUCUAGUAGAACGUCGCGACCCGCUGGGUGUCGGUUUAAGGGCCAAGAUCGUAGACUGUUCCGCGUCGUUUCGGCGUUCGGUUAACAGACGCUUGGAUCCCCGACCGGCUACUCGGCGGUAAACAUCAAGGUAUCGAGCCGCACUCGAAUGCGUUCAGACUCGUUGCAAGCUCGACCAUACAUAUUUCCCGGAUGUUGCGGACAAAGUGCCGUCACUGGGGUUGGUCGGCUGUUGGUUGACGAUGUUUUCUCGAACUGGCUUAAUAUUUGAACAAAGGAUACCGGUCAGCGACGCUAUUGCUUUGGGUACUUUCAGGACCCGUCUUGAAACACGGACCAAGGAGUCUAACAUGUGCGCGAGUCAUUGGGACAUGAUAAACCUAAAGGCGCAUUGAAAGAGAAUAUCGGCCUUGCGUCGAUUGAGGGAGGAUGGGCGACCUCGCGGUCGCUUCGCACUCCCGGGGCGUCUCGUUGUCAUUGCGACUUGAGGCGCACCCAGAGCGUACACGUUGGGACCCGAAAGAUGGUGAACUAUGCCUGGUCAGGACGAAGUCAGGGGAAACCCUGAUGGAGGUCCGUAGCGAUU